rnacentral:rRNA from 1 species
CACGUAGGGUGCGAGCGUUGUCCGGAAUUAUUGGGCGUAAAGAGCUCGUAGGCGGUGUGUCGCGUCGGCCGUGAAAGCCUGCAGCUUAACUGUGGGCUUGCGGUCGAUACGGGCAUCACUGGAGUUCGGCAGGGGAGACUGGAAUUCCUGGUGUAGCGGUGAAAUGCGCAGAUAUCAGGAGGAACACCGGUGGCGAAGGCGGGUCUCUGGGCCGUAACUGACGCUGAGGAGCGAAAGCGUGGGGAGCGAACAGG